UGUGACAUACCUUUAUGUUGCCUCGGCGGAUCAGCCCGCGCCCCGUAAAACGGGACGGCCCGCCGCAGGAAACCCUAAACUCUGUUUUUAGUGGAACUUCUGAGUAUAAAAAACAAAUAAAUCAAAACUUUCAACAACGGAUCUCUUGGUUCUGGCAUCGAUGAAGAACGCAGCAAAAUGCGAUAAGUAAUGUGAAUUGCAGAAUUCAGUGAAUCAUCGAAUCUUUGAACGCACAUUGCGCCCGCCAGUAUUCUGGCGGGCAUGCCUGUUCGAGCGUCAUUUCAACCCUCAAGCCCAGCUUGGUGUUGGGAUCUGUGUGCAAACACAGUCCCCAAAUUGAUUGGCGGUCACGUCGAGCUUCCAUAGCGUAGUAAUUUACACAUCGUUACUGGUAAUCGUCGCGGCCACGCCGUUAAACCCCAACUUCUGAAUGUUGACCUCGGAUCAGGUAGGAAUACCCGCUGAACUUAAGCAUAUCAAUAAGCGGGGGAAAAAGAAACUAUCUCUGGGGCCUCCCAAAUAAAUCAUUCUUAAAUUUGAUCUGAAAUCAGGCGGGAUUACCCGCUGAACUUAAGCAUAUCAAUAAGCGGAGGAAAAGAAAUGCU
rnacentral:rRNA from 1 species